GCCAGGCGCGGUGGUGAGUGCCCGUAGUCCCAGUUAUUCGGGAUGCUGAGGCUGGAGGAUUUCUUGAGUCCAGGAGUUCUGGCCUGUAGCGCGCUCUGACGAUCGGGUGUCCGCACUAAGUUUAGCAUCAAUAUGGUGACCUUCCGGGAGCGGGGGACCACCAGGUUGCCUAAGGAGGGGUGAACCAGCCCAGGUUGGAAACAGAGCAGGUCAAAACUCCCAUGUUGAUCAGUAGUGGGAUCGUGCCUGUGAAUAGCCACUGCACUCCAGCCUGGGCAACAUAGUGAGACCCCAAUCUCU
rnacentral:SRP_RNA from 1 species